AAAAGAACAUCCGCCCCAGAUCAAAUCCUACCCGUUCACUUCCUUGACCUCGACAAAUCUCGACCGCCCAAAUCGAACACUGCCCGAUUUCCAUUAUAUUCCCUCACUCACUCAACAAAACCCUCUCUCUUCUUCCUCGCUCCCUCCCUCCCUCCCUCUCUUCUCUCUCUCUCUCUCUCUACAAACCUCAGUCGGCCUCCUUCCCAAUCCUGGUGAAAUCCCAUUUGCCUAAAACCCUAGAAAGCCAAUCGCUUGCUCUGAGAGAUAGAGAGAAAGAGAGAGGGGGAGAGAGAGAGAGUUGAUUUUGUUGCUCUGUAGUAGGAUAGUCGCGAAGGCCUUGAUGGAUUCGGAUCAGGGAAAGCUGUUCAUCGGGGGGAUUUCGUGGGAGACCAACGAGGAUAGGCUCAAGGAGUACUUCGGCCAGUACGGCGACGUCAUGCAGGCCGUCGUCAUGAGGGACAAGGUCACCGGCCGGCCUCGCGGGUUCGGGUUCGUGGUCUUCGCGGAUCCGGCGAUACUCGAUAGGGUUUUGCAGGAUAAGCACACCAUCGACGGAAGGACGGUUGAGGCUAAGAGGGCUUUGUCAAGAGAGGAGCAGCAAACUAAUGCAAGAUCUGGAAACCAAAAUCCUGAUAGAGGCAGUGGAGCUGGUGGAAAUAUAAGAACAAAGAAGAUCUUUGUGGGAGGUUUGCCUCCUACUUUGACUGACGAGGGCUUUCGUCAGUAUUUUGAGGCUUAUGGUCAUGUAAAUGAUGUAGUAAUCAUGUAUGAUCAGAAUACUCAACGACCCCGAGGUUUUGGGUUUAUAUCUUUUGACACAGAAGAGGCUGUAGAUAGGGUUUUGCACAAGACAUUCCAUGAUUUGGGUGGGAAGCAAGUGGAAGUUAAGCGGGCACUUCCAAAAGAUGCUAAUCCUAGUGGAGGUGGCCGUAGUAUGGGUGGUGGAGGUGGUGGUGGUUACCAAGGUUAUGGUGGUUCUAGUGGUAAUUCAGGCACUGCAUAUGAUGGUCGGAUGGAUUCGAAUAGGUAUAUUCAGCCACAGAAUGCUGGAGGUAGUUUCCCGCCAUAUGGUUCUUCUGGAUACAGCGCACCUGGCUACGGCUAUGGUCCUGCCAGUAACGGCAUGGGUUAUGGCGGCUAUGGAAGUUAUGCUGGAAGCACUGGAUAUGGUGGUCCUGCUGGUGCAGCUUAUGGUAGCAUGCCCACUUCUGGUUACGGAGGUGGUCCACAGGGUGGGCCUAGAAGCUCAUGGGGCUCUCAACCUCCCACAGGAUAUGGAGCUAUGGGGUAUGGUGGUGCUGCUCCAUGGGGUGCUGCAGGGGCUGGUGGUGGUUCAACUGGCGGUGGUCCUGGUUCAGCACCUGCUGGUCAUUCCCCUAGUGGUGGAGCAGGAUAUGGCAAUCAAGGUUAUGGGUAUGGUGGUUAUGGUGGAAGUGAUGUAUCUUAUGGAAAUCAGGGUGGGUAUGGUGCUGUUGGAGGGCGCUCUGGAAGUACUCCAAACAGUGGUUCUGGUGGAGAAAUGCAGCCAAGCGCUGGUAGCUACAUGGGAAGUGGUUAUGGUGAUGCAGCUUAUGGAAAUGCAGGAUGGAGAUCGGACCCAUCACAAACUUCUGGAAAUUAUGGUUCUCAGUCAAAUGGUCCUCAUGGUGGGCAGGCUGCUUAUGGUGGUGGUUAUGGUGGUGGACAGACCCGCCAAGCUCAGCAGCAAUGAUUUGUUGUUGACCCCAGUUCCGAGUGCAUCCUUAUGAAGCAGUGCUCAGUUGGAUGUCAAUACUUUGGGACUGGAGGAGAUGCUCGGGUUUAAAGUGCACUCAAGUUUCUUCACAUGGCCAUGGGCAUUGUUGUGGUUUUUGUUGUUAAAAGCUUGGGAAGGAACUUGGAGAAUUGUUCUGUCAAAAUUAUGCAUUAACUCGAGAGAGGCUGUUCCAAUUCACGGGCUAUGUCACUGUUGUCAGUGUUUGCAGAUUCCUGGCAUUUCAAGUCAUGGAUCUCCAACCUUCGUCGAGAUUUGUGCUUCUUUUUGCAGGUCGUAGCCUCAUCAAGCCAGCCACAUUCACGAUUGUUGCCGUUUCUCUCGUAAAUGUCGGGUCUUACUUGCCACCUGCAGUGGUCCUCUUGUCCCAGCCCUUUGUCUUAGGGCUGUCGAUUGAUCUAUAAAGUGUCGGUUGCUGAGAGCCAGCGUUGUCUGGGCAUCAAAAUUCGAGUUCUGAUUUCAACUUCAAUGUAUGGUGGAAGAUAAGCGUGCAUAAUGCUACGAUUGCAACUUCGAGUUUCUGCGUCCAAUUUACCAGUAUCUUUAUUCACGUGUCUUUCCUCUUACAUCUAGUGUAGAAUGAACCAAGGCAAGUACGGCUACCAAGAUCAUACGGUCCCAACUUUUAGCCACGUGGGGCAUUUGGGAAAUGAGUUUGAUAAAUGGCUUUAUAUCGUAGCGGGAGGCCAGUGGUUCUCGACAUGUCGGAAAACUUUCCCGACUGGUUUGAGUAAAUUUUGGGUGCUCAAGAAAGUAACGUCUAUACCCUUUUUGAUCUGGUAGAAAUUGAAAUGAAGUUAGAAAAUCUCUGUUUGCGCUAA